rnacentral:rRNA from 1 species
CCUACGGGUGGCAGCAGUGGGGAAUAUUGCGCAAUGGGCGAAAGCCUGACGCAGCGACGCCGCGUGAAGGAAGAAGGCUUUCGGGUUGUAAACUUCUUUUUUCAGGGACGUAGAAAGUGACGGUACCUGCGGAAUAAGCCACGGCUAACUACGUGCCAGCAGCCGCGGUAAUACGUAGGUGGCAAGCGUUAUCCGGAUUUACUGGGGGUAAAGGGCGUGUAGGCGGGACUGGAAGUCAGAUGUGAAAACCACGGGCUCAACCUGGGGACUGCAUUUGAAACUGUAGUUCUUGAGUACUGGAGAGGAAGACGGAAUUCAUAGUGUAGCGGGGAAAUGCGUAGAUAUUAGGAGGAACACCAGUGGCGAAGGCGGUCUGCUGGACAGCAACUGACGCUGAGGCGCGAAAGCGUGGGGAGCAAACAGGAUUAGAUACCCCGGUAGUC